GGAGAGGUGGCCGAGUGGCUGAAGGCAACGGUUUGCUAAAUCGUCGUAGGGGAUUUACCUCUACCGCGGGUUCGAAUCCCGCCCUCUCCG
rnacentral:tRNA from 1 species